AGAGUUUGAUCCUGGCUCAGGAUGAACGCUAGCGGCAGGCUUAAUACAUGCAAGUCGAGGGGUAACAUGGUAGCAAUACUGAUGACGACCGGCAAACGGGUGAGGAACAUGUACGCAACCUUCCUUUAACUGGAGAAUAGCCCCUCGAAAGAGGGAUUAAUACUCCGUAACAUAAUGAAGUGGCAUCACUUUAUUAUUAUAGCUCCGGCGGUUAAAGAUGGGCGUGCACCUGAUUAGAUAGUUGGCGGGGUAAUGGCCCACCAAGUCUGCGAUCAGUAACUGGUGUGAGAGCACGACCAGUCACACGGGCACUGAGACACGGGUCCGACUCCUACGGGAGGCAGCAGUAAGGAAUAUUGGUCAAUGGACGCAAGUCUGAACCAGCCAUGCCGCGUGGAGGAUUAAGGCCCUCUGGGUUGUAAACUCCUUUUAUCUGGGAAGAAAUGCUUUGAUUCUUCAAAGCUUGACGGUGCCAGAGGAAUAAGCACCGGCUAACUCCGUGCCAGCAGCCGCGGUAAUACGGAGGAUGCGAGCGUUAUCCGGAUUCAUUGGGUUUAAAGGGUGCGCAGGCGGGUUUGUAAGUCAGGGGUGAAAUGUAACGGCUCAACCGUUGAACUGCCUUUGAUACUGCAAGUCUUGAAUAUAGUUGAAGUGGGCGGAAUGUAGCAUGUAGCGGUGAAAUGCAUAGAUAUGCUACAGAACACCGAUAGCGAAGGCAGCUCACUAACCUAUUAUUGACGCUCAUGCACGAAAGCGUGGGGAUCAAACAGGAUUAGAUACCCUGGUAGUCCACGCUGUAAACGAUGAUCACUCGUUGUUGGCGAUACACAGUCAGCGGCUAAGCGAAAGUGAUAAGUGAUCCACCUGGGGAGUACGAUCGCAAGGUUGAAACUCAAAGGAAUUGACGGGGGCCCGCACAAGCGGUGGAGCAUGUGGUUUAAUUCGAUGAUACGCGAGGAACCUUACCUGGGCUCAAACGCAUGAUGACGUUAGGGGAAACCUUAAUUUCUUCGGACAUUAUGCGAGGUGCUGCAUGGUUGUCGUCAGCUCGUGCCGUGAGGUGUCGGGUUAAGUCCCAUAACGAGCGCAACCCCUAUCAUUAGUUGCCAUCAGGUUAAGCUGGGGACUCUAAUGAAACUGCCUACGCAAGUAGAGAGGAAGGUGGGGAUGACGUCAAAUCAGCACGGCCCUUACGUCCAGGGCUACACACGUGCUACAAUGGCCAGUACAAAGGGCAGCUACCUGGUGACAGGAUGCUAAUCUCUAAAGCUGGUCUCAGUUCGGAUCGAAGUCUGCAACCCGACUUCGUGAAGCUGGAAUCGCUAGUAAUCGCGCAUCAGCCAUGGCGCGGUGAAUACGUUCCCGGGCCUUGUACACACCGCCCGUCAAGCCAUGGAAGCUGGGGGUACCUGAAGUCGGUGACCGUAAUAGGAGCUGCCUAGGGUAAACUUGGUAACUAGGGCUAAGUCGUAACAAGGUAACC
rnacentral:rRNA from 1 species